UUUGGUUUGUUACGUGUGGUUGGCUGCGGCGUUUGCAACAACUUCCAUGCUUUCAGACCUCUUCAGUUGUGCSACAAGGCUUGUAUCGCCUUGAGCGUACURUGGGUUUUCUGUGUUGGCUACCUAAUCAAUGGUAUCGGUUGGAUUGAUCAAAGUUUGAUUUCGUCUUUCGUCGCAUUCGCGGCRUGAGGUGAACCUCGAUGCGGUCUCUUUGAUCCACCUCGUUGAAGCACGUGCUUCGACGUUGUGGCACAUUGAGCAUUGCUUGGUCUCUUGUAUACGGAACAUAUAGUGGGCAUGGAUCUAACGAUCCUCGUUUGCCCUCAUAUUAGCGUAACGCUUCUCUAACACGACUUGCGCC
rnacentral:misc_RNA from 1 species